UGGGGAAUCUUGCACAAUGGGGGCAACCCUGAUGCAGCGACGCCGCGUGAGCGAUGAAGCCCUUCGGGGCGUAAAGCUCUUUCGACCGGAACGAUAAUGACGGUACCGGGAGAAGAAGCUGCGGCUAACUACGUGCCAGCAGCCGCGGUAAUACGUAGGCAGCAAGCGUUGUUCGGAGUUACUGGGCGUAAAGGGUGCGUAGGCGGUUUUCUAAGUUCGGUGUGAAAUCUCCCGGCUUAACUGGGAGGGUGCGCCGAAGACUGGGAAGCUGGAGUGUGGGAAAGGCAGGCGGAAUUCCUGGUGUAGCGUUGAAAUUCUUAGAUAUCAGGAGGAACACCGGCGGUGUAGACGGCUUGCUAGACCAUACCUGACGCUGAGGCACGAAAGCGUGGGUAGCAAACA
rnacentral:rRNA from 1 species